CGUAAUAAUAAAUGUUAAUCGAGUAAAAGAAAUGCAUAUGGAGUCAAAAAAUACGAUACGUUUUCGCGUUACCAAUACCAAACCCUAAGUCUUGAAGCCUGAAAUAGGCGAGAAUCGAAGGGAAUUGGAGCCUCUUGCGUUAGGGCUUCCACUACUCCGGGUGAUUACACACGCCUAUGACAAAAAUAUUAAGAAAGAAAGGUGGAUCGAGCCUACCUGUAGAACGGAGAUCUAAUCUGGAAGGCGUUGAAGAUAGAAGACGGCGACGUAGACCAAGGAUGGCGGCGUUUCCGAACUUCAAUGAGGAGCUCUAAACAACAAUCCAGAAUGAGCUUUGGAGUGAAAGUAAGAGAAAGGGGCAGCGAAAAUUGCAAAGGAGGGUGAGAAUCCAAAAAUUCGAUCCUUUGUGAAUGAGGCUUGUUAAUUAUUUGCAGGGUUAUGUACAUUGAAGCUCUAGCUUGGCAUGCUGCAGAGCAAAAUGCAUAGCGGGUUUUUUGCAAAUGACUUCAUGAUGGUCAAGGAACUCUAGACCGAUACAGCAGGUGUAAGCAGGUCUCACUUUGGAUUUACGAGGCAGCCAGCACAGAUUUUUGCAGACAUUACCUAUGUUGUAAUGGCUAUUCCAUUAUUCAGAGGUGGUAAAUAUGGGGGAAAUGAAGCGCUCCAAGUCGUUUAUGAUUGCCUCGAGGGUAAUAUCAAGCGGAUAGGUGACAAAAAUCUGGGGCCAAACCACGUCUCGACAACAACUCUGAGGAUUGGUACGUAACGUCGUUGGGAGGAUCAUACAUGGUGACGCACCGUUCUUGUUUGAUGGAAACUCUGUCAAUUUGUUUGAUUUUCAAGGCAUGUUAAUUGGCGUGUGGAUUUGCUUGCUUGUGGUCGUAUGUGUUUGGCUACCAUGACUUUGGUUGGACUGUUUGUGGAAUGGAUAGAAUAGAUCAUGGCAGGAUGUCAUAUGGAGCUAUUAUCAUGGACAUGUUGGCAUGAAUCAAGGCGGCUAGGAACUUCUACGGACCAUUGGAAAUGGAGAAGACUUUGAACUUUGCUUUAAUGGUGAUGUGGUUUGAAAUGGCGAUGUACACAAUUUAACAUUAGGUCAUAGAUGCAAUGGCAUGUUUGUAUUGUAACUUGGUUGAAUAAGGUAAUGAAUGAAUUUGCUUGUGAUUGUAAGUUGGAUAUUUAAUGGUUAAUCGAAUUGGAUGUGUAUCAUGGCAAUUGGUUGUAAUGUAUGAUUUUGUUUUGAAUGGAAAUCAUAUUGGUUUGGACAUUGAA